GGACGUGCCGCCGCGUAGUCGCAGGCUGAAUGGGCGGCGGCAGAGCAUGUGUGCCUCACUGAGGUUGCUGCUCGGCUGGGACCCGAAGGUUGAAUGUCUCUCCGCAGCCGGACCGUGAAGCCCGCGGCUGCGAGAACGUGGCGGCGGAGGAGGCGGCAGAGGGCAGCCGGAGACAGGCCGGGAGCCCCUUUCCGAGGUUGACGGCUCCCGGCCACGCGAGAGUCAUGGCAUCGCUGGCGGAUCGAGUACGGGGCAACGGGCGCAUCGCCGCCGGGCUCCUACUCAACCUACUGGUGUCCAUCUGCAUUGUGUUCCUUAACAAAUGGAUCUAUGUCCGCUACGGCUUCCCCAACAUGAGCCUGACCCUGGUGCACUUCGUGGUGACUUGGCUGGGCUUGUACGUCUGCCAGAAGCUGGACAUCUUUGCCCCCAAAAGUCUGCCGCCUUCCAAGCUCCUCCUCCUGGCCCUCAGCUUCUGUGGCUUCGUGGUCUUCACCAACUUGUCUUUGCAGAAUAACACCAUAGGCACCUAUCAGCUGGCCAAGGCCAUGACCACGCCGGUAAUCAUAGUCAUCCAGACCCUCUGCUACAAGAAAACCUUCUCCACCAAAAUACGGCUCACGCUGAUUCCUAUAACUUUAGGUGUAAUCCUAAAUUCUUAUUACGAUGUGAAGUUUAAUUUCCUUGGAACGGUGUUUGCUGCUCUUGGUGUUUUAGUUACAUCCCUUUAUCAAGUGUGGGUGGGAGCCAAACAGCAUGAGUUGCAAGUAAACUCGAUGCAGCUGCUGUACUACCAGGCCCCGAUGUCGUCUGCCAUGUUGGUGGUCGCUGUGCCCUUCUUUGAGCCAGUGUUUGCAGAAGGAGGAAUAUUCGGUCCCUGGUCAGUCUCUGCUUUGCUGAUGGUCCUGCUCUCUGGAGUAAUAGCUUUCAUGGUGAACUUGUCGAUUUAUUGGAUCAUUGGGAACACUUCACCAGUCACCUAUAACAUGUUUGGACACUUCAAGUUCUGCAUUACUUUAUUUGGAGGAUAUGUUUUAUUCAAGGAUCCACUGUCAAUUAAUCAGGGUCUUGGCAUGUUAUGUACAUUAUUUGGCAUUCUUGCCUAUACCCAUUUUAAACUCAGUGAACAAGAAGGAAGUAAGAGUAAAUUGGUGCAGCGUCCUUAAUGAGGUUUUUGUAGAGAAAAAGUUGCCUGAAGACAACACAAAAAGUAUCAGACCGUCUUCCCUUUGAAAAGGAAAUUCCUGGGGGGAAAAUGUACCAGAUAAUGAGGACCAACCAAGGAGACAAACCAGAAAUUCUGUGCUAUGGAAGAAAACAUGCUGACUGGCCUUUUGUUAAGGAUGUAAUUGCACUUGUUUUUUAUUGUAUGUUAGAUGACCAUACUGCAGUUUUUACCUGUUAUAAAUAAAGAGAACCUGAUGUUUUUACUUUCCAAUUGCAUGUUAGAACUAGUAGAGGAAGGAUGGCAUUUGUGUGUAUGCAGGAGUGACGCUGGCCUGUCCAGCUCCCAAAUCUGCAUCCCCUAAGGAAACAGAGGAGAAGGGGAAGACAGAGGAUGAGAUGGUUGGAUGGCAUCACUGACUCAGUGGACAUGGGUUUGAGCAAACUCAGGGAGAUGGUGAAGGACAGGGACGUCUGGCUUGCUGCAGUUCAUGGGGUUGCAAAGAGUCGGACACGAUUUAGGGACUAAACAGCAACAACAAAGAAAGUCCUUGUCUCUUUUAAAAGAACAUAAAGGAGGGACAUCCCUGGUGGUCCAGUGGUUAUGAACCUGCCUUGCAGUGCAGGUAGUGUGGGUUCGAUCCCUGGUCAAGAACCUCAGAUCCCACGUGACUUGGGGCAUCUAAGCCUGUUCCACACUACUGAUCCCGCAGACCACAACUAGAGUCUGUGCACCACAAGGGAGAUCCGAUGUAACCAAAUAAGUCAAAAAAUAAAUAUUUUUAUAAAUAAAAUCACGUAAAGAAGAAACUCUCUUCUCUGUGAAACGAAGCAAAUUUUCUCCUGUUCAUUUUUAAAAAUACUUUUUAAACCUGGCUAUUUUCAAAUCACUAGUCAUCUGUUCUGAAAAGUCUAUAAACAACUAAUGGAGCACUCCACAUUGACCUCAUGGGUGAUUAGGUGUUGGUGAAUGAAUAUGCAGAAUGGUCAAAGGAGAAGUCUGAAGAAAAGAAUGAAGACCGUAUUUAUUAGAUAUAUUCUGUUUUGCCUUUCUGUUCGCAAACUCGAACUACAUUAGAGUUGCUAACAUCAGGACUAGGAUGAUCAUUUCAUUCAUUCAACAGAGAUUUAUUAAACAUACAUUAUGUGCCAGGCACUGCGCCACCCACUGUGCAGAGACAGACAGUCCUGUGUUCCCUGUGAUCUUAAACAUUACUCCAGCAGAAAAGAUAGAAAUUAAUUAAAAAUGUAUUAUUUCAGACUCAAAUAGGAGAAGGCACAUGGUUCUCUGGAGCAUGUAACAAAAGAGUCUGACCCAGGAUUGGCUGUCAGCAAAGGUGUCCAUGAGGAGAGGACAACUGAGCUGAAACUUGAUGGCCUGUAGAAGUUAGCUGAGCAAUGAGGGGGCUGAGUAAAAAGGUGGGGAUUGCACUCUGGUAAAAGGUCCUUUGGUUGGAGAAAUUUGUGAUGAGUUUUAAGCUGCAAAAGGAUGGAAUGUAGGAACUACAUUUAGGGGAGAUGUGGUAUGACUUGAAAUUGGAAAGGAAGGCCAGUCCUUGGACCACAGAAUAGCUUAUAGACUGUGUUAGGAAUCUAGUAAGAGCAAGACAGAGUGUUCUGAGCAUCGUCACAUCAUCAUAGUCAGCGCCUUUGUUUCGAAACACAUGAAAGAGAACCAGACAGAGGCUAGGAGAGGACAUGGCUGCAGUGAGAUGUGACCGCUUGGAGAGGUUGUGGCGAGACGACAGAAGUGGGGAGAGCAGGAGGAUCUUGUAGAUGGGAUCCAGUGGGCUUGAGAUGGAUUGGAAAUAGAGAGCGUGGGAAGGGAUGAAGUCAGGAAUCACAUGUGUAUGAUUUGGGCAGCUUAAAAGAGGAUGGAAGAGAGUGCUCUUGCGAUAGGAAACACAAGAGGUUGGACUGGGGACU